GCUGGAAUCGCUAGUAAUCGCGGAUCAGAAUGCCGCGGUGAAUACGUUCCCGGGUCUUGUACACACCGCCCGUCACACCAUGGGAGGUCGGAAAUGCCCGAAGUCAGUGACCCAACCGUAAGGAGGGAGCUGCCGAAGGUGGAGCCGGUAACUGGGGUGAAGUCGUAACAAGGUAAC
rnacentral:rRNA from 1 species